GAGGGAGUUGACUGCCUUUGCAUUUUGGAUUAAUUGAGUUUGAGAAGGUAUUUCUCUAUGCCUUAUAAUUGGAUUCAAUUUAAAUUUUUGGAGAAUUGAGCUUUAUAAGAUAAGUUUUGAAAGACAUAAUUUUUUCUAGAUUUGAAGACAAUUUGGAUUUUUAGAAAAUUUCUAAGUGAAGGGAGUUGGUCGCUAUGACAGUUUGAAUCACUCAACUUCAAAGGAGCAAUUCUCACGAUUGAAUCACUAGAUUGCAACAAGAUUUUCUGAAACAAGAGCGCCUUUAAGUUAACCUUGCAAAAAAGUAAGAAUCAUUCAAUUCAAAGCUAGUGAAAAUUUUUGGCAAAUUUUGGAGUAGAAGGGGGUUGCUGCCUUCAAUCCUUGGAGGUUGUUAAGGUACCUUCGCUUUUACCUCUUAUUUUAUUUUUACUUUUAUCUUCAUAGUGACUUGUAAUUUCCACAUUUUAAUUUUUGGCUAAUAAAUUUUAAGUUUUAAGUUUUAACCUUUAAUAUUCUUACUUUAACUUU
rnacentral:lncRNA from 1 species